rnacentral:rRNA from 1 species
GAUGAACGCUGGCGGCGUGCCUAAUACAUGCAAGUCGAGCGAACGGACGAGAAGCUUGCUUCUCUGAUGUUAGCGGCGGACGGGUGAGUAACACGUGGAUAACCUACCUAUAAGACUGGGAUAACUUCGGGAAACCGGAGCUAAUACCGGAUAAUAUUUUGAACCGCAUGGUUCAUAAGUGAAAGACGGUCUUGCUGUCACUUAUAGAUGGAUCCGCGCUGCAUUAGCUAGUUGGUAAGGUAACGGCUUACCAAGGCAACGAUGCAUAGCCGACCUGAGAGGGUGAUCGGCCACACUGGAACUGAGUCACGGUCCAGACUCCUACGGGGGGCCGCAGUAGGGACUCUUCCGCAAUGGGCGAAAGCCUGACGGAGCAACGCCGCGUGAGUGAUGAAGGUCUUCGGAUCGUAAAACUCUGUUAUUAGGGAAGAACAUAUGUGUAAGUAACUGUGCACAUCUUGACGGUACCUAAUCAGAAAGCCACGGCUAACUCCGUG